rnacentral:lncRNA from 1 species
UGCCAAUCCAUCAGCCUCAAGUUACUGCCCUGUUAUUACACUGCAUACUUGUUCAUUUUUAAGUCCCGGGUUUCUUCUCAAACAUUGUUUCUGAAAUUUUUCACAAGAUUUUGUUGGAUUUGGUUGCAGAGGUUAGAGUCUUAAUACACAUAUGAGACACAAAUAGAAAACUGAUUUGUUAUUAAUCAACACAGCAAUAAAAUGGGAGA